rnacentral:rRNA from 1 species
UACAGAGGUCUCAAGCGUUGUUCGGAUUCAUUGGGCGUAAAGGGUGCGUAGGCGGCGUGGUAAGUCGGGUGUGAAAUUUCGAGGCUUAACUUCGAAACUGCAUUCGAUACUGCCGUGCUUGAGGACUGGAGAGGAGACUGGAAUUUACGGUGUAGCGGUGAAAUGCGUAGAUAUCGUAAGGAAGACCAGUGGCGAAGGCGGGUCUCUGGACAGUUCCUGACGCUGAGGCACGAAGGCCAGGGGAGCAAACGGG